UACGUAGGGUGCGAGCGUUGUCCGGAAUUAUUGGGCGUAAAGAGCGCGCAGGCGGUCUGACAAGUCAGAUGUGAAAGAGGCCGGCUUAACCGGCAAGGGUCAUUUGAAACUGUCAGGCUAGAGUGCAGCAGAGGAUAGUGGAAUUCCCGGUGUAGUGGUGAAAUGCGUAGAUAUCGGGAGGAACACCAGUGGCGAAGGCGACUAUCUGGGCUGCAACUGACGCUGAGGCGCGAAGGCUAGGGUAGCAAACAGG
rnacentral:rRNA from 1 species